UACGGAGGAUCCAAGCGUUAUCCGGAUUUAUUGGGUUUAAAGGGUGCGUAGGUGGGAAAGUAAGUCAGAGGUGAAAGCUAGCAGCUUAACUGUUAAAUUGCCUUUGAUACUGCUUUUCUUGAGUCUAGUUGGCGUUGGCGGAAUGUGACAUGUAGCGGUGAAAUGCGUAGAUAUGUCACAGAACACCGAUCGCGAAGGCAGCUAACGAAGCUAGUACUGACACUGAUGCACGAAAACGUGGGGAGCAAACAGG
rnacentral:rRNA from 1 species